GCCUCCCCUCCCCACUCCCCACCCCGGCUCCUGAGACCGGCCGCGAGGCUGCUCGGGGUCCUGGCGCGCGCGGGGGUGCCAGGCUCGGGAGCCUGGACGGCAGCUGAACCUCUCCCGGGAGGGCGGGCGGCACCUGCGCCAAGAACGCCCGCGGGCAGCCAGGGAGCCGCAGGGAAGGUGGGGAUGCCCUGGGGGCCGAGGCCAGCCGCCGCCCCUGGCCCCACCCUCCCUCCGCGCUGGAAGGAGAGGACCAAAAGCCAGCAGGAGCCAGCUGCUCUUCCCCCGGCCUGCAGGGUUAGGUGCCUUAGGUGACCCCACGCCCUGCAGAAAGCAUCAGGUUCCUGCACUACCUACCCGGGCCUGAGUACAACUGCAUGAGGAGGCGAGGACUUGCCUGUUUAGCCAAGCCCCAGCCUGAUGUUAAUGUACCAACAGGUCACGGGGCCUGGUCCGAGGAGGGUACUUGGGCUCAGAAGCAUCCAAAUCACUUUCGUGCAUAACUAAUCAGUUAACACUAACUGGACCGACAAGGACGCAGAGGAGACCAUUUCCAAAAGAGUCACUGCCUGCUUCCCCGGAUAGAGUCCCCCAUCCUGUCAUUUUGAUAUUUAAUAAAUCCCUUGCACUUUGCAAUUCAGAUCUCUUAACCUGGACUCCCAAGAGGGUACCAACCAAAAAAAGAAGGAUGUACUGUCAAGCAACCAGAGACCUACAAAAUGGAUAACUCUGGCACAGCCAUAUGAAGCUUGCCAAACCUGGACUCUAGAACAUAUCUAGAAGGAAGAAGUUCCUAGGCCUUCCAACUAUGAUGCCCUGCCAUCCAUUCAAGAGUAUUUCACUCCAAGGACAGACAGCAGGAAUCAUCCAGCAUCUCUCUGCUACCAGGACAGGCCACAGGAGAAGACCUGAUCUCUUGGAUAACAGAUCCAGACCUUUGAGGACUUUUUAGACCAUAACCAACACCUUGAACUGCACCCAGAAAUAAACCAGUAAUCACAGCAGCUUUGGUAACACCAGUAUUGCAUGUGCAUUACAACUUACCUCCAUGAAGAAAAUGUUCCAGAUGAUUUUCAGGAGUAACCCCAAGUAGAGUGCAUUGCAGGUAACAGUGGUGUGGGUUAUGGUAGCAGGGUCCACAGUAAGAAGGAACAGUGGCAGCUGAUUGGGUCAAUCAUAGGUUUGGGGUGGGGGAGACGUGUGCUGCCUCUGGCAUCUGGGAAAACAGUAAGAGUCAUAGAUCCGAUAUAAACCUAAGAGUGGAAAUUAUUUUUGCAAAAGUCAGGACUGCAUCUUUAAUAAAAGACAUGUUCACAGCCACCACCCACUGCUUUGGAGGCAUCUCUUUGCUCAGCAGCGUAACUUCCUUAGUGUCUGCUUGUUCUCCACUACUACUUAGAUUGUAAACUCUCUGAAGCAGGGACCAUCUCUUUGCUGUAUGUACAGUGCCUAACACAAUACUGCUGGGGCCUCUAGCCUCUACCAUAGCACAAAUCGACAGUGAUACAUAAAUGGUUCAGUUCAUUUUAUAAAGUGGCUGAGUUAUUAAAAUAAUAAUAAAAUCAUUCCUCCCUACCAGUUGUACCAAGCUACCUCUCCAAGUAAACACAAUUGUAAUUCCAUUUUAGUUCUGUUAGGAGUCUGUGUGUCUGGAACUGACUUGCUGAUUUAUUUUUUUCCCCCACUUACACUGGCUAAGUCUGACAGAUUCUUUUGCUCAGGCUGCUAUGUAGUAACUUA